CUAGAACACUCCUGUUAACCCUGUCAGUUCUAGAACACUCCUGUUAACCCUGUCAGUUCUAGAACACUCCUGUUAACCCUGUCAGUUCUAGAACACUCCUGUUAACCCUGUCAGUUCUAGAACAUUCCUGUUAACCCUGUCAGUUCUAGAACACUCCUGUUAACCCUGUCAGUUCUAGAACACUCCUGUUAACCCUGUCAGUUCUAGAACACUCCUGUUAACCCUGUCAGUUCUAGAACACUCCUGUUAACCCUGUCAGUUCUAGAACAUUCCUGUUAACCCUGUCAGUUCUAGAACACUCCUGUUAACCCUGUCAGUUCUAGAACACUCCUGUUAACCCUGUCAGUUCUAGAACACUCCUGUUAACCCUGUCAGUUCUAGAACACUCCUGUUAACCCUGUCAGUUCUAGAACAUUCUUGUUGACCCUGUCAGUUCUAGAACAUUCCUGUUGACCCUGUCAGUUCUAGAACAUGAACACUACUACAGUCAGAUAAAUACACUGACAGGAUCCCAGUCUGGUCCGGCCACACUACACUACCCAGAGUUCCACAGCAGGUUUAGUCACACGGUAGUCAGGUUAUUGCCUUGCUAAUGGCUGGUGUUAUACACUGUUACUAUGGUUACUGUGAGAGAGACAGAGCUAGUGACGUUAACAGAACUACAGUAGGCCGGUGAAAUGGUUGGUGAAAUGGUCGGUGAAAUGGUCGGUGAAAUGGUCGGUGAAAUGGUUGGUGUCUGUGUCCGGGGGGACUGAGGUGACCAUUGUGACACUGAGUUCAAACACAGAGGCCACACAACAUACAUUGUUCUGUUCUGACGAGAGAGCGAGAGAGAGAGAGAGAGAGAGAGUUUGGCUUCUCUCCUCUCUUUGUGUUGUAGUGUCUCUGUAGUGUCUCUGUCUCUCUAGACCUGGUUGUAGUGUCUCUCUAGACCAGGUUGUAGUGUCUCUCUAGACCAGGUUGUAGUGUCUCUGUAGUGUCUCUCUAGACCAGGUUGUAGUAUCUCUCUAGACCAGGUUGUAGUGUCUCUGUAGUAUCUCUCUAGACCAGGUUGUAGUGUCUCUGUAGUGUCUAUCUAGACCAGGUUGUAGUGUCUCUCUAGACCAGGUUGUAGUGUCUCUCUAGACCAGGUUGUAGUGUCUCUCUAGACCAGGUUGUAGUGUCUAUCUAGACCAGGUUGUAGUGUCUCUGUAGUAUCUCUCUAGACCAGAUUGUAGUGUCUCUGUCUCUCUAGACCAGGUUGUAGUGUCUCUCUAGACCAGGUUGUAGUGUCUCUCUAGACCAGGUUGUAGUGUCUCUCUAGACCAGGUUGUAAUGUCUCUCUAGACCAGGUUGUAGUGUCUCUCUAGACCAGGUUGUAGUGUCUCUGUAGUGUCUAUCUAGACCAGGUUGUAGUGUCUCUCUAGACCAGGUUGUAGUGUCUCUCUAGACCAGGUUGUAGUGUCUAUCUAGACCAGGUUGUAGUGUCUCUCUAGACCAGGUUGUAGUAUCUCUCUAGACCAGGUUGUAGUGUCUCUCUAGACCAGGUUGUAGUGUCUCUGUAGUGUCUCUGUAGUAUCUCUCUAGACCAGGUUGUAGUGUCUCUGUAGUAUCUCUCUAGACCAGGUUGUAGUGUCUAUCUAGACCAGGUUGUAGUGUCUCUGUAGUAUCUCUCUAGACCAGGUUGUAGUGUCUCUCUAGACCAGGUUGUAAAGUAACAGGUCUUUAUCUCCAGGAUAACUGAAACAUGAACAACACUACAACCAUGUUAGAUUAACAAAGCUACGACCAGGUGAUAUUAACAACACUACGACCAGGUUAGAUUAACGACCAGGUUAGAUUAACGACCAGGUUAGAUUAACAACACUACGACCAGGUUAGAUUAACAACACUACGACCAGGUUAGAUUAACAACCCUACAACCAGGUUAGAUUAACAACACUACGACCAGGUUAUCUGAACAACACUACGACAAGGUUAGAUUAACAACACAACGACCAGGUUAGAUUAACGACCAGGUUAUAUUAUCAACACUAUGAUCAUGUUAGAUUAACAACACUACGACCAGGUUAGAUUAACAACACUACGGCCAGGUUAGAUUAACGACCAGGUUAGAUUAACGACCAGGUCAGAUUAACGACCAGGUUAGAUUAACAACACUAUGACCAGGUUAGAUUAACAACCAGGUCAUAUUAACAACACUACGACCAGGUUAGAUUAACGACCAGGUCAGAUUAACGACCAGGUUAGAUUAACAACACUACGCCCAAAUUAUAUUAAAAACACUACGACCAGGUUAGAUUAACGACCAGGUUAGAAUAACAACAACACUACGACCAGGUUAGAUUAACGACCAGGUUAGAUUAACAACAGUACGACCAGGUUAGAUUAACAACACUACAACUAGGUUAGAUUAACGACCAGGUUAGAAUAACAACACUACGACCAGGUUAGAAUAACAACCAGGUUAGUUUAACAACACUACGACCAGGUUAGAUUAACAACAGUACGACCAGGUUACAUUAACAACACUACAACCAGGUUAGAUUAACGACCAGGUUAGAAUAACGACCAGGUUAUAUUAACAACACUACGACCAGGCACACACAGUCUCAAAUGGAACCCUUUUCCACAGCUCCCUAUGUGGCCCCUGGUCAAAAGUAGUGCACUAUGUAGGGGAUAGAGUACCAUUUGGGUCAACCCCAAACUAAUCUUCCUCUGUGCUGAACCCCUCCACAGAACCAGUGAACCAUCUUGACCGGUUCUGUGGCUCAGGACCCUCCUGGGUCCCCAGUGUUGUGGAACAUUACCGAAUAAACAGGUUUACAAAGUUAUUGUUGUGUGGGUUUUUUUUCCGUUCACUUGCAUCCUCCCCUCCCCUCCCCCCGUUCAGGAUGAAAAUGGUUUAGUCCACUGACUCCGCUCAGCUGUCCAUCACACACUCUCCAUAAUGAUCACCACAGAAUCCUCCUCAGCCAAUGGGGUGUCUCCUGGGGCGGGGCUACACAGGGUUAGUCCCUCCCCUGACACCUGAUCUCUAACCGGGCAGUCCAGGCUGUCGUGGAGCUCGCUCACCCCUUCCACUUCUCCUUCAUCGCCUCCUCCUCCUCUCCUCCCUUCCCCUGCUUCCUCCACUCCCUCCUCCUCCUCCUCUUCCUCCUCCUCCUCCUCCUCCUCCUCCUCCUCGUCUUCCUCAACCUGACAGCGGCACACCUCGAUGCCCGAGUCCCCUGUUAGACGGCGGUGACGAUACUGACUCGCAUCAGCCCCAACUUCCUCCUGCUCUUCCUCUUCCUCCUCCUCCUCCUCUCCCUCGCUCCUGUAGGUGUGGGGGACAAGCUGGUACACGUCCACGCAGGGGGAGAACAGGGUCUGCUUGGGGGGAGACUGGGUGGGCCUGGGGGAGAAAGGGGGAGGAGAGGAGGGGGAGAAAGGGGGAGGAGAGGACAAGGGAGAGACAGGGGGAGGAAAGCAGGAGGGAGAGACCGAGAGGGUAGAGGCUGGGGAGAGCGUAGAGGCUGGGGAGAGCGCAGAGAGGGUAGGGGCUAGAGAGGCUAGGGUUAGGGUAGGAGAAUGGGCUGGGGAGAGCGCAGAGAGGGUAGGAGUUUGGGCUGGGGAGAGCGCAGAGAGGGUAGGGGCUGGAGAGGCUAGGGUUAGGGUAGGAGAAUGGGCUGGGGAGAGCGCAGAGAGGGUAGGAGGUUGGGCUGGGGAGAGCGCAGAGAGGGUAGGGGGGCUGGAGAGGCUAGGGUUAGGGUAGGAGGUUGGGCUGGGGAGAGCGCAGAGGGG
rnacentral:lncRNA from 1 species